UACGUAGGGGGCAAGCGUUGUCCGGAAUUAUUGGGCGUAAAGAGCUCGUAGGCGGUUUGUCGCGUCGGCUGUGAAAACUCGGGGCUCAACCCCGAGCCUGCAGUCGAUACGGGCAGACUAGAGUGCUGUAGGGGAGACUGGAAUUUACGGUGUAGCGGUGAAAUGCGUAGAUAUCGUAAGGAAGACCAGUGGCGAAGGCGGGUCUCUGGACGAGUUCCUUCGACGGCUGAGGCACGAAGGCCAGGGGAGCAAACGGG
rnacentral:rRNA from 1 species